rnacentral:lncRNA from 1 species
CUCGGUCAAGUCAUCCUUUGCUCUGGAACUUACGUCUUCGCAUAGGUUCGAUUUUUCCCAAGCAAAAAUCGCCUAUCUUGGGCAAACUCGCCUAUCUUGGGCAAACUCGCCUAUCUUGGGAAAACUCGCCUAUCUUGGGAAAACUCGCCUAUCAAGGGGCAAACUCGCCUAUCUUGGGGCAAACUCGUCCAUUCGAUCAUUGUCUUCAUUCAUCGCUUUGGCUGAAUAAGACCACUCAUAGCCCAGCUCUUUUACCGAAACGAAA